UCCAGGCAAAUCCGGAUAAUCAAGGCUGAGGUGUGAUGACGAGGCACUACGGUGCUGAAGUAACAAAUGCCCUGCUUCCAGGAAAAGCCUCUAAGCAUCAGGUAACAUCAAAUCGUACCCCAAACCGACACAGGUGGUCAGGUAGAGAAUACCAAGGCGCUUGAGAGAACUCGGGUGAAGGAACUAGGCAAAAUGGUGCCGUAACUUCGGGAGAAGGCACGCUGGUGUGUAGGUGAAGUCCCUGCGGAUGGAGCUGAGACCAGUCGAAGAUACCAGCUGGCUGCAACUGUUUAUUAAAAACACAGCAC
rnacentral:rRNA from 1 species